rnacentral:tRNA from 1 species
GCCGUGAUCGUAUAGAGGUUAGUACUCUGCGUUGUGGCAGCAGCAACCCCGGUUCGAAUCGGGUCACGGCA